rnacentral:rRNA from 1 species
UACGGGGGGAGCAAGCGUUGUUCGGAUUUACUGGGCGUAAAGGGCGCGUCGGCGGCCAGCGCAAGUCGGUUGUGAAAUCUCCGGGCUUAACUCGGAAAGGUCAACUGAUACUGCGCGGCUAGAGUGCAGAAGGGGCAACUGGAAUUCUCGGUGUAGCGGUGAAAUGCGUAGAUAUCGAGAGGAACACCUGCGGCGAAGGCGGGUUGCUGGGCUGACACUGACGCUGAGUGCGCGAAAGCCAGGGGAGCGAACGGG